rnacentral:siRNA from 1 species
GGAUACCUAUUCAGGUUCGGGUU